GAUGUUAUUGCGGGUGUAGCGAAAUGCUUAUUGGUUUUAGUGACAGGCGGGUUUUAGUAACAGGCUAGCUCUGUUUUAUUUUUUACAGAAAAGUAGUUUGAUUUCUUUUUUUUCUUUUUUUGUAGUUUGUUCAGUUUUUUGGGAAUCCUGUUUCCAUCCUGCACAGUGGGUGGCGGGAUGCACAUAAAAUUCUGCGAAUGCCAAUACUGUUGAGUACCACAGUAUGAGUCAUAAUACCAAAAAAACCUAGAGGUAAAACCAGUAAAUGGUUCCAAUUGUAAUUCGACCAUUCAUUUUUCCAUAGGGGAUUUUAGAACUGCUUCAUAUAAGCUAACUAGCUUCUCCGUUGAUCAGAAGCAAGGAUGGUUCUGUGCUAUGUACCGGAUUUGUCCAUCACUACUCCGAAAAGCACACGUGCAUUUUAUCAUUUUCCGACAUCGGUAAGCGUGAGGCAUCGCUGGAGCUGUGUGAUAAGGCCGAACCCACUGUUCCUAGGCCGUCAUGGUGUCAGUGUGAACCGAGCACAAGCAUCCAGUUGUGGAGACUACAGUACAUCAAGCCUGUGGACAGACAGAUAUGAGACGUGACAUGCGGUACAUCAGGCUCACCCCAUGAGAAGCAGUGCAUGAUCAACGCCACCCUCUAUCUCUCCAUUAAAUUCAAAGAGCUUUAUUGGUGUCAAUAAAGGCUCCGGCCUUGGAGCUGGACUGGAUGCCGUGCCUUGGAGCUGGACUGGAUGCCGCCUUCCCCUGCGCCGAUGCCCAGUCCAAGCACGGCAUCCAGUCCAGCUCCAAGGCCGGAGCCUUCCUCUGCGACGGU